GGAUCCCAGCGGCGGUCGUGUAGCUGAGCAGGCCUGGGGCUUGGUUCUAUGUCCCUGUAGCUAUGUUUCCAGUGUCCUCUGGGUGUUUCCAAGAGCAACAAGAAACGAAUAAAUCUCUGUCCGCGAUCCAGCCCGGUCCACCACAGCCUUCAGCAGCGACACUCGUAGCCUCCCACCUCUCAGACCGAGUGAGCCUCGCAAAGCCGUUGGGCGCGCGCCUGCACCGCGGUUGCUGCCUGGCUCCCGGAAGCCCUUCCCUGGUGGCGCGUGCCGGCAGGUGGGGCUGCAGCUCUGGGCGGGUGCCGAUGAGCUCGCAGGUCCUCUUGGGAUCGCCCGGGCGGCCCCAGGAUCGCAGGAGCGCCGCCAGCCCGGCCUGAGAAGGAGGGCCUGUCUGGCCUUGCAGCCCACCCCGCUCCUCCUCGGAAGGGAGAUAGGGUGCUGGCAAGGGCACUCCGCUGCCACCUGGGUGGCUUCGCAGAUGGCCUGGCUUCACGCUGAGGCUCUGGCCCUGGAGUCUGUGUGGCUAGUGUCAGGUAGCUGUAGAGGCAUGGAGGCAGAGUCAGGGGCUGCUCUUUCCCCCACCAGCCCUAACUGCUGCCAGUGCCCCACGCACAGUUUGCAGCUGCAGAUCUGGCACUGGCGUGGGACGGCGGAGCUUCCCUUGGAUGGCCUCAGGGUUGCAGAGCGCACAGCCCACCUGGCCUCAACUUCCGCUCUUCUUGGGCAUCUCUCUGGAUCCUGGGCCCGGGCGCUGGGCACUCUGUAUCCACAUGGAUGAAACUGAGCAGCUGCUGGCGGGGCCCAUCGCCUGAUUUUGCCGCCUGGGGGUCUGGUCUCAGGAUCCACGCUACUGGGGGGCGGGCCUGGUUUGGGGUGUCCAGUCACUUACUGCCGGUGCACCACGUCUAGACUGCAGCUGCGGCUCCGAUGUGGCGUCAGCUGGCGGGCCUGGUACCUGAUGUCCUCAGGGUCAAGUGCAUCGCCCGCCCACUUGAGGGGUUGCUGUGACUUGGCCUCCUCCAAGAACUCAGGGGCCACCAGGGCUGGCUCUUCGUGGUAACCGGGAUGGUAUUGAGCAGCAGGUUUUCACCCUGGUGCCACUGCUGUGCGGACUGCCUGACUUGGGCGCCCAGGCACUGGCCUCAGGGUCCGCGUGGCAGGUGUGUGUGCGGGUAGGGUGAGUGGCACGGAGGGUCAGGGGUUGCUCCGUCAUCUCUGCCUGUGUGCAACUUGCAGUUUUGCAGUUUUCUGCAGCAGCUGAGGCGCUGGCGUGGGAAGGCGGAGCUCCCCUGGAUGGCGUCAGGUUUGCAGGCACAGAGCACAGCCCAGGCCUGAGGGUCCGCUCAGGGGCCAUGAUGGUUGAGUUCUCCGUGGAAACUGGGAUGGGGUGAACAGCCAGUUCCCGUCCUUUGGCCGCCUGGCCAACUACCAGACUUAGCCGCUGCCGCCCAGGCAUCUGUCUCUGGGGUUGCCGCUACUUGGGUAGAAGUGGGGGUCGGGGUGGGGCAUGGAGUGUCACCGGUUGCCAGGCCAGCACUGUCUUUGCAACAUAUUCAGAUGGCGGCGGGCAGCUCGGGCACCAGCAUGGGCUGGGGGGGCUCCCCUGGAAGGCCCUCAGAUCGCUCACAGCAUUGUCCAAGGGCUUCCUCGGCCUGUGCCAGGUGAGCAAGGUAGGGGGGAGCUUCCAAGGCUUCUAUCCCAACUCUACUUAUUUCUAGCUAUUUUCUCUUGAGUUAUUUUGUGUCUAUCUCAGUUUUAUUUGCAAAAAUAGUAUAUGCAAAAUACAUCUAGUGAAUGUACAUCAGGCAUAUAGAAGAUCUGGCAGAAACACGUUUUCUCAUGCCCAUUUCCAUUCAGUAUUUGAACACAGAGACUUCCAUGGUUUUGAUUCUUUCCACAAAAGGAUAGUUUUGUCUGUUUUCACCAUUUACAUAAGUGAAAUUAUAAAUUAUAUAAUUUUUAUGUUCAUUCACUAAACAUGCUUGUGACAUCAUUUUGCUCCUAUUGAUUAUUCACUAAUUUUAUUUUGUAAUACUCAAUUUUAUGACUAUACCACAGGUUUGAGGCCUUUGCUUGUUUUGUUUAUAAUCCACUCCACUAUUGAUAGACACAAAAGCAGUUUCUGAUUUGAGGUUAUCAUGAAUAAACCUGCUACGAACAAA
ensembl:lncRNA TEKT4P2 tektin 4 pseudogene 2